UGGAUGGACGUGCGUGCGGCUGGCAGGGCUUCUGCUGCUGAGCACCUCCCAGCUCCGGGGGAAGAGGUUCUCUUCUAAGCCGGACGUGAUUGACAGAAUGCAAUUUCAGUCCUGGAAGCAGUCUCUUGAGGCUUAAUGACAACAUAGACUUCAUGAGCCCCAGCUCUGCUCUGCUGAAAAACCAAGCAGCCGCUGCAGGUGCCAGCUGAGACUCCAGCAAUGGUUCCAGGCUGCCCAGCACCCAACCAAACCUCUCCAGCAGGGAUGGGAGACUGAGUGGUAAUGAUACGAUGGCCUAGGGUGCGUUUCUGUCAUACAGACACAACGCUGAUAAAAAUAUCUGCCUGUAAAUCUUCUUUACAUCGGCAUUCUUGAUACAAAUAAAUUACAAUAAUUACAUACUAAAUAUUUCCUCCUGGAAACAGAGGAAAGAAACAAAUUUGGAAAGCAGCUGCUGCCUACUGCUCUCUGAGAUGGAGGCGGUUGUCACACUAUUUCUUCUCUGAGCCUUCCAUGGGACAUCCACACCCCCAUGCACAGUUGCCACGAGACACCCCUGCCUCUGCAUUGCUGCUGUAGGGUAGGGGUAAGAGGGGGAUUCUCUCUUUGAGGCCCUCAGAAGAAAAACACCAUAUACCGAUCAUACAACUGCAAAUUUAACUACUUGUUUUCCCAUUUUAUAUCUUAGUAAUUACCUCAGUUUGACAUUCAAGAUCAAGAUGUGUUUAACACUCUGCCUUCAAGAAGUUCCCUUCUGUUCCUCAAGGAAGCCAGUGUUCCUCCAGCUGUCACGUUCGUGGAAAACACGGAAUCGAUCAUGUCUCAAAGUGAGUUUCAUUUCAGAGACGUUCAUCAGCAUAACGCUGGAGAGUGAAUCCUCACCUUCUACUGGAAGCAUAGCAUGAUCAUCUACAAUGAAGCAAAUAUGCAGCACCAUUUUACAUUUCCUGGAUAAACUGGGGUUUGUCUCUCUGUAGGCCCCCCAUUGGCUGAGGCAGGACUGAAUCUGUGCAUGGCAGGUCCAAGGGCACACUGCAGUCCCACAAAGGCCUAUAAGAGAAAAAGGAAGACAGACUAACUUGAGCCAGCUGAUGAUUUACGUGCUUUCUUUCAGAAUAGGAAGCAUUUUUAAUGAGCUUCCAUUUGGAAAAACUGUUGUGAUUUUAAAUUCUGUCUUGAGUUGCAUUAUUUCCAUGGAGUCAAUGUAACAUCAAUGGCUUGUGGUGCAGGACGUGGCCGGGCUGGGUUUGAAUGCAAUGAUGCUUAGGACUUUGUCUUUCCAAGGGCUGUCUCCCUUCCGAGGAAAGCAUUACGAUCUCAUUUAAAAUGUAAAUGCUAUUGGGAAAGUGAAUUAAUGGUAUCUGACUUAUGAAAUUAUGGACUAAUUCAAGUGGGCAACAUUUUUUCACCAGGACUCCUAUGGAUGAAAAAUGCAAAUCUGGCAACACUGAAGCUUUCCAGGAAGGUCUCAUUCCACUAACUUUUUCUCAUACAAAACUGAGAAGAAAUUCCCCAUAAAUCAAAAUCUUCUGUGGUGAGAUUUUUG
ensembl:lncRNA